GCCGAUGUAGCUCAGCUGGUAGAGCAAUGGUUUUGUAAACCAUAGGUCGUCGGUUCGAGCCCGACCAUCGGCUCCA
rnacentral:tRNA from 1 species